GAUGAACGCUAGCGGCAGGCCUAAUACAUGCAAGUCGAACGGUGUCUUCGGACAUAGUGGCGCACGGGUGCGUAACACGUAUGCAACCUACCUUACAUUGGGGGAUAGCCUUUCGAAAGGGAGAUUAAUACCGCAUAAGACAGUAGCUGGGCAUCCAGCAGCUGUUAAAGAUUUAUCGAUGUAAGCUGGGCAUACGUCCAAUUAGCUAGUUGGUGAGGUAACGGCUCACCAAGGCAAUGAUUGGUAGGGGAACUGAGAGGUCAAUCCCCCACACUGGCACUGAGAUACGGGCCAAACUCCUACGGGAGGCAGCAGUAGGGAAUAUUGGGCAAUGGACGCAAGUCUGACCCAGCCAUGCCGCGUGCAGGAUGAAGGCGUUAUGCGUUGUAAACUGCUUUUAUACAGGAAGAAACGACUCUUGCGAGAGGCAUUGACGGUACUGUAUGAAUAAGCACCGGCUAACUCCGUGCCAGCCGCCGCAGUAACAC
rnacentral:rRNA from 1 species